CUCUCUUCAUGAAUACGAAAGAAAUAAUUCCCCUUACCUUAGAAAGAAACUAGAUACUGGAGUAGAGAGGUUGCAAACUUCUCUUCUUCUUUCUCUCUGUAAUUUCUCUUUAUAAUAAUUGCUCUAAAGCUUUAGUGAAUUGGAAGAAUGAUCUUUUAUUUAUAGGAAAAUAUAGUUUCGAUAAUUGCACGUUUUGGGGCUCGAAAUAUUACAGUACAAUACCUUCAACUUUUCU
rnacentral:lncRNA from 1 species